rnacentral:rRNA from 1 species
GUAGGGAAUAUUGGGCAAUGGAGGCAACUCUGACCCAGCCAUGCCGCGUGCAGGAUGACGGCCCUCUGGGUUGUAAACUGCUUUUAUACGGGAAGAAAAAAUACUACGUGUAGUAUACUGACGGUACCGUAAGAAUAAGGAUCGGCUAACUCCGUGCCAGCAGCCGCGGUAAUACGGAGGAUCCAAGCGUUGUCAGGAUUUAUUGGGUUUAAAGGGUGCGUAGGCGGAUCUUUAAGUCAGUGGUGAAAGCCUGAAGCUUAACUGUAGAAUUGCCAUUGAAACUGAAGAUCUUGAAUAUGGUUAAAGUAGGCGGAAUGUAUCAUGUAGCGGUGAAAUGCUUAGAUAUGAUACAGAACACCGAUAGCGAAGGCAGCUUGCUGAACCAUUAUUGACGCUGAGGCACGAAAGCGUGGGGAGCGAACAGGAUUAGAAACCCCUGUAGUCC